GGCAAAAGCUCAAAUUUGAAAUCUUGGCGCCUUCGGUGUCCGAGUUGUAAUUUGAAGAUUGUAACCUUGGGGUUGGCUCUUGUCUAUGUUUCUUGGAACAGGACGUCACAGAGGGUGAGAAUCCCGUGCGAUGAGAUGCCCAAUUCUAUGUAAGGUGCUUUCGAAGAGUCGAGUUGUUUGGGAAUGCAGCUCUAAGUGGGUGGUAAAUUUCCAUCUAAAGCUAAAUAUUGGCGAGAGACCGAUAGCGAACAAGUACAGUGAUGGAAAGAUGAAAAGAACUUUGAAAAGAGAGUGAAAAAGUACGUGAAAUUGUUGAAAGGGAAGGGUUUGAGAUCAGACUCGAUAUUUUGUGAGCCUUGCCUUCGUGGCGGGGUGACCCGCAGCUUAUCGGGCCAGCAUCGGUUUGGGCGGUAGGAUAAUGGCGUAGGAAUGUGACUUUACUUCGGUGAAAGUGUUAUAGCCUGCGUUGAUGCUGCCUGCCUAGACCGAGGACUGCGAUUUUAUCAAGGAUGCUGGCAUAAUGAUCCCAAACCGCCCGUCUUGAA
rnacentral:rRNA from 1 species